rnacentral:SRP_RNA from 1 species
GCUGGGUAUGUUGGCAGGUGCCUGUAAUCCCAGCUACUUAGGAGGCUGAGGCAGGAGAAUCGCUUGAACCCAGGAGGUGGAGGUUGCAGUGAGCCGAGAUUGUGCCACUGCUCUCCAGCCUGGGUGACAGAGCAAGACUCUGUCUCAA